UCGCCGUUUUGUUUUCCGGGCAGUGGGCCUCUGUGGUCUCUGGAACAAACACCCUGAAUCUCGUGCCCAGGCAGAACCGCCUGGUGCUUCCAGGCGGCUUGAGAAGGGCUAGGCUUCGGAGCCUCCAACCUGACAAAGGUGGGACUUGGGCCAAUGUCGAGAGGCCUAAGUCUGGGACUAGAGUUGGCCCCCACGGCGCACAUUCUUGCUCAGAAGCAGCAGAUCGCAAAAAUCAGGAGGUGUCGGGCCGGGCGGGGAAUGAAGGCAAGUAAGCUCCGGCGCUUCGCCUCCGGACCCCAACACAGCCUCCGCGGAUUUGGGAGCUGAACGGAGUCGACGACUCUGCAGAGACGCCUCUGGCCAGAGAGCGGAUGGCACAGGCCUGCACACUCGUCAUCUGUAAGGUCCACCCGGAAGCGGCCUGGCCUUGCGGAUGGUAAUAGAUGGACAAGGUGGAGACAGAAUUCCCAGGCAGCAGGAUGGUAAACAAGUGCAGAUCUGAGAAACAGCCUGCUGACCUUUGGUAACGUGUAUAGCAACAGCAGACAAGAUUCCUGGAGGAACACCAACUAUUAUAGGUCUGUGACGAUAAAAGCCACGGAACAAAGACAAUUGAGCAAAGAAGACAGAGGGAGCCUGGGAACUUCAUGACAUUCUUGAACAGUGGUGCCAGCCCUGGAUGAUUGACCUCAGGACCUCUUGCUAAAUGACAUAUACUAACUCCUUUCUGUUUAACCCACUGGAGUAGAAUUUUCUUUUGCAGUGAAUCCAAUCCUAACUGAUUGGCUAAUAUGUAUUAGCACCUGUUGUGGGCCAGUGGAGUUCUAAGAAUGUUUAUGUACUAACGUUUUUAAUCCUCACGAUGAAUGACUUUAUGAGAUAGACCAAAGGUUCUCAAAGUGUGGUCCCUGAGCCAGCAGCAUUAGCAUCACCUGGAAACUUGUUAGAAAUGCAGAUUUGGGGGCCUGACCCCAGACCUCCUGAAGCAGAAUCUCUGGGAGUGGGGCCCAGCAGUCUGUGUUUUAACAAACCCUCCAGGCGAUUCUGAUGUAUGCUGAAGUUUGACAACUUUAUCUCUGUAGAUAGGGUAUUGUUGCUGUCCCCAUUUUACAGAUAAGUAGACUGAGCUGAAUUUAAGUCACUUGCCCAAUGUCACACAACCAGCAAGACUGACUCCUAAGUCUGUGUUUGUAGCCGCUAUGUUACAUCACAUGUUAAGAACUCCUGCUCUAAAGCAGUAGUCUUCAAAAUUUGAAAGCAUACUCCUCUGAAAAAUUAUGUACCCCCCUGCACAUUUUUAGAUCAACAUCUGAAAAUUUCACAUAAGUUCAAACAGUUGUAAAGAAUCUGAUUUCCAGUACAUUGUAAAUUGUGACAUUUCAAAAUGUGUUCCAUCACUCUUCUAAAUCUAAAUACCAUAGUGAUUAUUUUUUAAAUGGACGAUCAUCUAUUUAAAAAAAUAAAUUUUCUCUAACAUUUGAAAUUUUACAUCCUCUCUUUUGUAUUUGAACUCGUAUUUUCAUUCCCC